rnacentral:rRNA from 1 species
GCAAGUCAAGGAGAACGGGGCCUUCGGGCCCUCAUUAAACUGGCGAACGGGUGAGUAACGCGUAGAUCAUCUGCCCCUUUCACUGGCAUAACUUCGGGAAACCGGCGCUAAUACCAGAUGAGGCCUUCGGGUCAAAGCUUCGGCGGAAAGGGAUGAGUCUGCGUCUGAUUAGCUAGUUGGCGGGGUAACGGCCCACCAAGGCAUCGAUCAGUAGCUGGUCUGAGAGGACGAUC